UACGAAGGAUCCUAGCGUUGUCCGGAUUUACUGGGCGUAAAGGGCGCGUAGGCGGCCUUCUAAGUCGAACGUGAAAUCCCCGGGCUCAACCCGGGAACUGCGUCCGAUACUGGAAGGCUUGAAUCCGGGAGAGGGAUGUGGAAUUCCAGGUGUAGCGGUGAAAUGCGCAGAUAUCAGGAGGAACACCGGUGGCGAAGGCGGGUCUCUGGGCCGAUACUGACGCUGAGGAGCGAAAGCGUGGGGAGCGAACAGG
rnacentral:rRNA from 1 species